UCAAGUGAAUAAGUGCAUGUGGUGGAUGCCUUGGCGAUUACAGGCGAUGAAGGACGUUGUAGCCUGCGAAAAGCCGCGGGGAGCUGGCAAACAAGCUUUGAUCCGCGGAUGUCCGAAUGGGGAAACCCACCCGCAAGGGUAUCGCUGACUGAAUUCAUAGGUCAGCGAGGCGAACGUGGCGAACUGAAACAUCUAAGUAGCCACAGGAAAAGAAAUCAACCGAGAUUCCGAAAGUAGUGGCGAGCGAAAUCGGAGCAGCCUGUGCGUGAUAGUCGAUUGGCUAGUGGAAUGGUAUGGAAAGGCCGGCCAUAGAGGGUGAUAGCCCCUUACACGAAAGCGAAUCGGUGGUACUGAGCGUACGACAAGUAGGGCGGGACACGUGUAAUCCUGUCUGAAGAUGGGGGGACCAUCCUCCAAGGCUAAAUACUCGUAAUCGACCGAUAGUGAACAAGUACUGUGAAGGAAAGGCGAAAAGAACCCCGGGAGGGGAGUGAAAUAGAUCCUGAAACCGCAUGCAUACAAACAGUCGGAGCCUCGCAAGGGGUGACGGCGUACCUUUUGUAUAAUGGGUCAGCGACUUACGUUCAGUGGCAAGCUUAACCAGAUAGGGGAGGCGCAGGGAAACCGAGUCCGAAUAGGGCGCCAUAGUCGCUGGGCGUAGACCCGAAACCAGGUGAUCUAUCCAUGGUCAGGAUGAAGGUUGGGUAACACCAGCUGGAGGUCCGAACCGACUAAUGUUGCAAAAUUAGCGGAUGAACUGUGGAUAGGGGUGAAAGGCUAAUCAAACCUGGAAAUAGCUGGUUCUCCCCGAAAACUAUUUAGGUAGUGCGUCAUGUAUUGCUCCAGGGGGUAGAGCACUGUAAUGGUUGUGGGGGCCAUCGCGGCUUACCACGCCAUAGCAAACUCCGAAUACCUGGAAGUAUGAGCAUGGCAGACAGUCGCCGGGUGCUAACGUCCGGCGGCAAGAGGGAAACAACCCAGACCUACAGCUAAGGUCCCAAAGUGUGGCUAAGUGGGAAACGAAGUGGGAAGGCUAAAACAGUCAGGAUGUUGGCUUAGAAGCAGCCAUCAUUUAAAGAAAGCGUAAUAGCUCACUGAUCGAGUCGUCCUGCGCGGAAGAUGUAACGGGGCUAAGCCAUGCACCGAAGCUUAGGCUGCACUCUUUGAGUGCGGGGUAGGGGAGCGUUCUGUAAGCCUGUGAAGGUGUCUCGUAAGGGAUGCUGGAGGUAUCAGAAGUGCGAAUGCUGACAUGAGUAGCGUUAAAGCGGGUGAAAAGCCCGCUCGCCGUAAGCGCAAGGUUUCCUACGCAACGUUCAUCGGCGUAGGGUGAGUCGGCCCCUAAGGUGAGGGCGAAAGCCAUAGCUGAUGGGAAGCUGGUUAAUAUUCCAGCACCGAUUUCUAGUGCGAUGGGGGGACGGAUCGUGGAAGGUUGUCCGGGUGUUGGAAGUCCCGGUUCCUGACCUGUAGGUGUCUGGUAGGUAAAUCCGCCAGGCGUAUGCCGAGGGGUUGGGACGAGCGAGCUUGCUCGCGAAGCAACUGGAAGUGGUUCCAAGAAAAGCCUCUAAGCUUCAGCUAGAAACGACCGUACCGCAAACCAACACUGGUGCGCGAGAUGAGUAUUCUCAGGCGCUUGAGAGAACUCGGGAGAAGGAACUCGGCAAAUUGACACCGUAACUUCGGAAGAAGGUGUGCCUUGGUAGCUUGAGUGUGAACAACACAAGGGCAAAGAGGUUGCAAAGAAUAGGUGGCUGCGACUGUUUAUUAAAAACACAGCACUCUGCAAACACGAAAGUGGACGUAUAGGGUGUGACGCCUGCCCGGUGCUGGAAGGUUAAUUGAAGAUGUGAGAGCAUCGGAUCGAAGCCCCAGUAAACGGCGGCCGUAACUAUAACGGUCCUAAGGUAGCGAAAUUCCUUGUCGGGUAAGUUCCGACCUGCACGAAUGGCGUAACGACUUCUCCGCUGUCUCAACCGCGAACUCGGUGAAAUUGCAGUACGAGUAAAGAUGCUCGUUUCGCGCAGAAGGACGGAAAGACCCCGGGACCUUUACUAUAGCUUGGUAUUGGUGUUCGCUUGGACUUGUGUAGGAUAGGUGGGAGACUGUGAAGCUGCCGCGCCAGCGGUGGUGGAGUCGUCGUUGAAAUACCAUUCUGGUUCAAGCGGUCACCUCAACCUAGACCCGUGAUCCGGGUUGGGGACAGUGCCUGGUGGGUAGUUUAACUGGGGCGGUUGCCUCCUAAAAUGUAACGGAGGCGCUCAAAGGUUCCCUCAGCCUGGUUGGUAAUCAGGUGGCGAGUGCAAGUGUACAAGGGAGCUUGACUGUGAGACCGACGGGUCGAGCAGGUGCGAAAGCAGGAACUAGUGAUCCGGCCAUGGCACGUGGGUGCGUGGUCGCUCAACGGAUAAAAGGUACCCCGGGGAUAACAGGCUGAUCUUGCCCAAGAGUCCAUAUCGACGGCAUGGUUUGGCACCUCGAUGUCGGCUCGUCGCAUCCUGGGGCUGGAGUCGGUCCCAAGGGUUGGGCUGUUCGCCCAUUAAAGCGGUACGCGAGCUGGGUUCAGAACGUCGUGAGACAGUUCGGUCCCUAUCCG
rnacentral:rRNA from 1 species